rnacentral:rRNA from 1 species
AGUAACACGUGACUAACCUACCCUCGAGUGGGGAAUAACCUGGAGAAAUCCGGGCUAAUACCGCAUAACACUUACGAGUCAAAGCAGCAAUGCGCUUGGGGAGGGGGUCGCGGCCGAUUAGCUAGUUGGCGGGGUAAUGGCCCACCAAGGCAAUGAUCGGUAUCCGGCCUGAGAGGGCGCACGGACACACUGGAACUGAAACACGGUCCAGACUCCUACGGGAGGCAGCAGUGGGGAAUUUUGCGCAAUGGGGGAAACCCUGACGCAGCAACGCCGCGUGGAGGAUGAAGUACUUCGGUACGUAAACUCCUUUCGAUCGGGACGAUAAUGACGGUACCGGAAGAAGAAGCCCCGGUAACUUCGUGCCAGCAGCCGCGGUAAUACGAGGGGGGCAAGCGUUGUUCGGAAUUAUUGGGCGUAAAGGGUGCGUAGCGGUUUGGUAAGUCUUGUGUGAAAUCUCCGGGCUCAACUCGGAGUCUGCACAGGAAACUGCCGGGCUUGAGUGUGGGAGAG